GUUGCUGUUUAAACAUCUGUACAGGCAUAUUUCCACAUCCUUAUUGUUCUUGGGGUACAAAUCCCUUUCCUUUGCCUUAGACUAAAUCUUUUUUCUUCCAGUCUCAACACAUGACAUUCUGUCCUUUGUAAAGUCCUGUUUGUGAAUAGAUUUCCACACAAUGAUUUGUAUUGGCCCUGGAUAUAUUUGUAUAAUGUUAUCAUAUCCCCUCUGAGGCAACGUUUUUCUAAACUAA